UACGUAGGUGGCAAGCGUUGUCCGGAAUCAUUGGGCGUAAAGAGCGUGUAGGCGGCUCGAUAAGUCUGCUGUGAAAGUCCAGGGCUCAACCCUGGAAGGCCGGUGGAAACUGUCGGGCUAGAGUCCGGAAGAGGCGAGUGGAAUUCCCGGUGUAGCGGUGAAAUGCGCAGAUAUCGGGAGGAACACCAAUGGCGAAGGCAGCUCGCUGGGACGGUACUGACGCUGAGACGCGAAAGCGUGGGGAGCAAACAGG
rnacentral:rRNA from 1 species